rnacentral:rRNA from 1 species
UGUGAACUCGAAGAGUAGGGCGGGACACGUGGUAUCCUGUCUGAAUAUGGGGGGACCAUCCUCCAAGGCUAAAUACUCCUGACUGACCGAUAGUGAACCAGUACCGUGAGGGAAAGGCGAAAAGAACCCCGGCGAGGGGAGUGAAAAAGAACCUGAAACCGUGUACGUACAAGCAGUGGGAGCACCUUCGGGUGUGACUGCGUACCUUUUGUAUAAUGGGUCAGCGACUUAUAUUCUGUAGCAAGGUUAACCGUAUAGGGGAGCCGCAGGGAAACCGAGUCUUAACUGGGCGUUAAGUUGCAGGGUAUAGACCCGAAACCCGGUGAUCUAGCCAUGGGCAGGUUGAAGGUUGGGUAACACUAACUGGAGGACCGAACCGACUAAUGUUGAAAAAUUAGCGGAUGACUUGUGGCUGGGGGUGAAAGGCCAAUCAAACCGGGAGAUAGCUGGUUCUCCCCGAAAGCUAUUUAGGUAGCGCCUCGUGAACUCAUCUUCGGGGGUAGAGCACUGUUUCGGCUAGGGGGUCAUCCCGACUUACCAACCCGAUGCAAACUACGAAUACCGAAGAAUGUUAUCACGGGAGACACACGGCGGGUGCUAACGUCCGUCGUGAAGAGGGAAACAACCCAGACCGCCAGCUAAGGUCCCAAAGUCAUGGUUAAGUGGGAAACGAUGUGGGAAGGCACAGACAGCCAGGAUGUUGGCUUAGAAGCAGCCAUCAUUUAAAGAAAGCGUAAUAGCUCACUGGUCGAGUCGGCCUGCGCGGAAGAUGUAACGGGGCUAAACCAUGCACCGAAGCUGCGGCAGCGACACUAUGUGUUGUUGGGUAGGGGAGCGUUCUGUAAGCCUGCGAAGGUGUGCUGUGAGGCAUGCUGGAGGUAUCAGAAGUGCGAAUGCUGACAUAAGUAACGAUAAAGCGGGUGAAAAGCCCGCUCGCCGGAAGACCAAGGGUUCCUGUCCAACGUUAAUCGGGGCAGGGUGAGUCGACCCCUAAGGCGAGGCCGAAAGGCGUAGUCGAUGGGAAACAGGUUAAUAUUCCUGUACUUGGUGUUACUGCGAAGGGGGGACGGAGAAGGCUAUGUUAGCCGGGCGACGGUUGUC